rnacentral:rRNA from 1 species
UACAGAGGGGGCAAGCGUUAUUCGGAAUUAUUGGGCGUAAAGGGCGCGUAGGCGGCUUGGCAAGUGGAAGGUGAAAUCCCUCGGCUUAACCGAGGAACUGCCCUCCAAACUGCUUCGCUUGAGACCGGGAGAGGUGAGUGGAAUUCCCAGUGUAGCGGUGAAAUGCGUAGAUAUUGGGAGGAACACCAGUGGCGAAGGCGGACUCACUG